rnacentral:lncRNA from 1 species
UCAGAACUUUGGGGAUUUGCUUUAGCCAUUUAGAUCUUUCCGUUUCUUGCAUAUACGUCUAUGAUUAUUUCAGAGUGUGACUUUUUUGGCUUUGUUUUUGUUUUGGGUUUGUAUGUUUCUUCCAUUGUGCUACUCUGGCUUAAGCUUUUUCAGAGGUUGGUGUUCCGAAUACACAGUGAGCUCACAGUAUAAAGACAUCAAUUAGGAGUUGACAGGUAUGGAAAACUAGAGUUUUGAAAAGGUAAAAUUAGGUUCUAGGUUAUAUAUAUGGUAAAAACUCACCAUAGCCCUCAGUUGACCUUAGUAGUGCUUCUCUUUCUCUGACUUCAUUAUAAAAGUGAAAGGUAAUGAGACCAAGAUAAUAGAGAGUGUUUAUUUCAGGAGCAGCAUGAUUUCAGAACAAAUGAUUUUAGUGUUUCUGAAACACUAGUUCUCACAAAGAGGUAGAUGUCAGCAGACAUCAUAAAGUAAUAGUUUAAACAUUCAAAAAGUUAUAGGUUGAAUAGAUUGGAGGGCACUUCUGAAGCACAAGAUCUUGAAGCAAUUUAUUAAUUCCAUGAAGUAAAGUUAGUGGCAGAAACAGGAAUAUAACUUAGCCAUUUUAACAUCCUUCCUGUUAGUUAAUAUACUAUCCCCUCCUCUGUCUAUCCCAGUCCACCUAUCCUUUUCCUUCUUUUCCCUGUCCUUCCUGAAGUUUCAGCUCUAAUAUGAGUUUUGGGAGAUAAUCCUCUAUCUGAUAGGUAGGAUUU